rnacentral:lncRNA from 1 species
AGUGCCAAGGCCGGUGUGAGUGCCAAGCACUAGGAGAAGGACCCUGACCCUGCAAGUCCAAUCCUUGGGGGUCUAGGAGGGAAGAAGCCCCUGGCUGUGUGACCUUAGGCUGGUGCCUGGCCCUCUCUGGCUCUGAGUUUCUGGGAAAGUCAGCACCCAAGGAACGCCCUCCAGUUUAGCACCUUGACAAGAAAGCUUGGCUCAAAGGCUCAAGGCAUCAAAGGCUCAGCCUGCCCCUCAGGAAGCAGCCCGGGCCCAGCGAGACACUCACCAGGACAAGGGCAACUGUGAUGAGCAGGAGGCCCAGGAUAAGGAGAGCCACGGCAUAGCUGGAGGAACUGAGUCCCAGAGGAGGUGCAGGUGGAGUCAUUGAAGCAACACUGCAGCUGGACCUGGGUCUGAGUCCCUGCUCCUGGCUGUGAGAUGCGCCUCUCCCUCUGUUUAUUCAUCUGAAGGAUAGGGCUGUGCUGUUCUGGGUUUGCUGUGACAAUUGAACUGGCCUCUGUGAGUUGGUGGUGGCCUCCUGAGAUGGCUUGAGGUGAGCUGGAGGUGUGUAUUGAAUGCCCCCUCGCACCCACGGGGAAGACCCACUUAAGGAA